GAGCAUUUCGUGUUGCCUAAGCUC
rnacentral:siRNA from 1 species